GACACUGGAGGGGGUUUGUAAAGGAGGCGACGAAGGAGAGAGGAGACACUACCAGCAAACACAGAGGUCAUCUGACCUCUGAAGGGCCUGACAGACAAAGAGGAGGGUUCAAAAGAUGUCAAACAAACACAGGAGGCUGCAGAGGAGAAGACGGAGGAGGUGAGGUGACUGAAUGGCGACAGGAGGAGAAACGAGAAAGUGUCUUCGUUGAGUCCAGGAGUUUUCUCCUCUGUCCUCCCUCCUUUUCUCCUCUGUCUUCACUCCUUUUCUCCUCUGUCCUCACUCCAUCCUCCCUGUCAAGCACAUUGACAGUAGCCAUACUGUUCGGAUCAGAUUAUUGUAAUCUAGUUCAUGUGAUGAACACGAAUGCAGCACUAACACUCAGCACAGGCAGGCGUGUGAAAAACUCACCAAUAAUGUGUCCGAGCUGCACUUGAAGGUCCCGUAUUCAGAUCUGUUGCUGCCACAGCCUGACAGUUCACAUCUAAAUGUUUACCCCCACUUUUCACUGCAUCCAGAACACCUACUAAAAGGUCGAAUCUUCUAAUCCUAGCUGAUCGUAACCAUUCAAGUAAACAUGUCAAUUUCCCCCUGGCUUCUUUCCGUUCCUCUGCGGAUCGAAUGUGAAUCCUUGGGUUCUUGUGAGUUAUCAGGAUUACUACUGUCCGUAAAUUAGCCUCACCAACGGAUCCGGUAGGAAUGGCAAAGAUCUCCACCGUUCCGGAUCGGAGCCAUUCCAGAUGCGGUUAAAAUUGGGGCUAAAGGUCCUCCCAGCUUGUUCUCAGCUCCCAGUCCAGAUCCAGCAUUGCCGAUGGUCUGGGGAUCAUCAGAGUCCAUGUCCUGGGUAUCUUGUUUGUUGUUCCUAACCUGAAAUUAUUCAACUUUCAGCUCUGCCUUACAAAUAAAAGUCCAAAAUGGGAAAUUCGGCAAUGACCUUUCAUGUAAAUAUGCAUCAGUGACAUCACUUCCUGUGUAGAUGUGACCCCUCCCUUAUUCUGCAUUCGAGUUACCUUGGAAGACAGAAGUCCGAGCUGAAAAUGACAUCACACCCAAGUUCCCAGCGUUUCAGUUACCAAGUCGGAAAAAAGCAGAUUGGAGGCGGACACCCCGAUGACACCAUGGAUGAGGAGAUGCUGAUUCUAAAAGUCUAGAAGUAGAUAUCCACCUCUGGAAGGACACAAUCUACUGCUUAUAUGUCUAUGUGUCUGUCUUUAUAGAGACAACUCGUUAUUGUGCGAUUGAACAUGACUCCUCGGGUUCUUGUGAGUUCCUGCUGUCCGUAAUCCGCCAUGAAAUUUGUCUCCCAAACAGAUCCAGUAGAAAUUAGUGGACGGCGAAAAAUUGCUGCCGUUCUGGAUGCGGUGAAAAUUGGAGAUUACUCCAAUACACACUGAGUGAAGCUUUAAUGUCAGACAAGGAAACUGGAGCUGCUUCUCAAACCUCCAAAACCAUCAAAUCAUAUGCAGAUGACACCGUCUUUACAGACUCAUUUAAAGGUUUAUAUCGAUCUCUGUUUUAGCAUGUUUCUAUUUCACUUUGUCCUUUUUUGUGAGCAUGAUGAGAAACAGGGACAUCGACUCAAAGCCUGGGACAAUAUGCAUUUCUCCCUAUUAGAUUAUUGUACGAUUUUUUGGAUGCUGAUUGGAUUUAAAUCUCGAUUCUAUGAUAUUGUUGAUUUUCUCUUUUUUUUAGUCUGCAUUUUUAACACCAGUGAAACAGUUGAAUGAUUAUGUCUACUGACUAUUACAGGAACCAUAUUUCCCCAAAAAUACACACCACAUGUAGAUCGGUCGAUUUAAAAAUUGUAAAACAAAAAAUUAUAAUACUGAAUCGAAUUUUCUCCUACCCCUAAUAGACACGUUAGGACUUUAUGUUUUUAUAAGUCAGCAGCAUCGCCUUCAGCGUUUUUAUAACCCAAUAAUAAAUAUAAUAUAAUAAAAUGAUUGCUUCCUAAUAGGCAGAGUCACCGUUGUGACAUCCAAUCAAAGUCAGACUGAAGUUUGAAGCGUCAUUUACCCUGAGGGUCACCAGAGUCCCCGCGAGGAGUCCCCACUUAAAACCCCAAACCUUAGUCUGAUUGAGUGAGAUUGAUUUAAGUGUCAGAACAGGCAGCCAGUCAAACUUGAGAACCAUCCCUGGCCACGCCCCUGCAAACAGCACCCUGAGUCUGAGUACGGGACCUUUAAUCCUGCAGAGAUCUCACUGCACUCACACGCCGUCUCCAUCAGCAUGAAUGCACCAUAUUUUAUAGAAACACAGAGGUUGUCAUGGCAACCGUCUUCCUCUACGUCGUAACCCUGUGCCCGUCAGCAGCAGGAUGACUUCAGGUGUGACUCCAUCACAGUUUGGAUCCAUGUUAAAACUUUAUCAACAUCCUGAGCAUGGACACUGACAGAGACGAGGUCGGCGUUUUUUUUGGUUUUUUUUGUUAUAUCCUAUUUCUUCUUCUUUUUCUUCUCAGUUUUUAUCCGUUGAUGACGCUGCACUGGGAGAUGGAGGCGGGUGGUGCUGCAUGCCUUUGCACUCAUAUUUAGGACUGUUUGUCUAAAACCUCAUCUGUGUGACAAACCUGCAAACUGCUGCAAAAACAAGCUGUGUUCACAAGACAAAGAAAUCCCGACAGCAGAGGGAAACCGAAGCAGGAUGAACUUUAAAGAUUUAUAAUAAAAAUAAUAACUUAAAGGAUGAUAAGAUUCAGAACAUAAUGAGUUUUAUUAUUUAGUUCUGAGGACAGAAUCAGAUCCACUUAGACAAAUAUUUCUGUACAACAAUAUCCUCAGGCUGUUUCUUUUCUUAAAUUUACGAUCUCAUGAUUUCUAAAGUUCACUCAGGCAGAUUUAUAAUUUUGAUCUUGAAAAGAGGGUCCGAUCGAUAGUUGAACCUUGGAUUGAGGAGGAACAAUGCGGUUUUCGUCCCGAUCGCGAAACCACAGAUCAACUCUUCACCCUUGCUCGGGUUCUUGAGGGGAGAUGGGAGUUUACCUAACUGGUCCACAUGUGUUUUGUGGACUUGGAGAAGGCUUACAACCGUGUCCCUAGGGGAAUCCUGUGGGGGGUGCUCGGGGAGCAUGGGGUAGAGGGUUCCUAAUUAAGGGCCGUCCAAUCCCUUUACCAAAGGAGCACAAGCUUGGUCCGGCUGUAAGUCGGACUCAUUUCCAGUGAGAUUUGGACUCCGCCAGGGCUGCCCUUUGUCACCGGUUCGUUUCAUAACCUUUAUGGACAGAAUUUGUAGGCGCAGCCGGGGGGUGGAGGGUGUCCAGUUCGGCAGGCAGAAGAUCGCGUCGCUGCUUUUUGCAGAUGAUGUGGUACUUCUAGCUUUGUCGAGCAGUGACCUUCAGCUCUUCGCGGCUGGGAUGCGAAUCAGCACCUACAAAUCCGAGGCCACGGUCCUCAAUCGGAAAAAGGUAGAUUGCUUUCUCCGGGUCGGAGGGGAGGUCCUACCUCAAGUGGAGGAGUUCAAGUAUCUCGGGAUCUUUUUCACAAGUGAGGGUAGGAUGGAACGGGAGAUUGACAGGCGGAUCAAAGUGGUGUCAGCAGUGAUGCAGACACUUAUCCGAUCAGUCAUGGUGAAGAAAGAGCUGAGCCAUAAGGCAACACUCUAUUUACCGGUCGAUCUACGUGCCGAUCCUCACCUAUGGUCAUGAACUUUGGGUAAUGACCGAAAGAACAGGAUUGUGGAUACAAGCGGCCGAAAUGGGUUUCCUUCGUAGGGAGGCCGGGCUCAGCCUUGGAGAUAGGGUAAGAAGCUCGGACACUCGGGAGGCGCUCAGAGUAGAACCGCUGCUCCUCCACGUUGAGAGGAGUCAGCUGAGGUGGCUCGGGCAUCUGGUUAGGAUGCCUUCUGGACGCCUCCGGUUAGAGGUGUUCCAAACAUGUCCCACCGGGAGGAGACCUUGUGGCCGGCCCAGGACCAGGUGGAGGGAUUAUAUCUCUCGCCUGACCUGGGAGUGCCUGGGAAUCCCCCCGGAGGAGGAGCUGGUGGAAGUGGCUGGGGUGAGGGCCAUCUGGGCUUCCCUCCCGAAGCUGCUGCCCCUGCGACCCGGACUGGGAUGAAGCGGAAGAAAACAAUGACGGUGCGAUCUUGAAAUCUCAGUGUCUCUAUAAAGUGGCACUGGUUCCCCGUCAUAAUUUUGAGGAAAAAGAUGAAAAAUAAACUUAAAAAAUAUGUGAAAUAAGGUUUAUCUAGGAGGUUAAAAAAAAAGGCUUUUUAGAGAGAUAAACACAAAUAAAUCUGAAUUUGAUGCGUUUUCAUUUUCAUUAGAAGAUAUCUAAAAUUUACUUAUUUGUAUUUUUAUUAUCAGAGAAAAAGAAACUAAAAUGUCCUUUGACUGGCUUUUAAGAACACUGAGACAUUUCUAAAUCACAUUCAUGUAAAGAUUUUUAUGAAGACGAAAGUUUUGAGUCUUUCUUCAAACUUUUGUCCUAUUAUAAGACGAUUAUUUUCUCCGAUUUCUUCCAGAGAAGUUGAACAAAUCAAACCUUUAGGAGUUGAAAUGGAUUGUUGAGUAUUUUAAACAUACAUAUUAAAGAUUUUCUGUGUCAUUCAGAGGGAAGAGAGGGAGGGCUCAGCAAAGACAAACAUCACAGCAGCACUGUUUUUUUUUUUUUUUUUUUUUUUUUUUUUAUGGACCUGAAAAUGAUUUUAAGAAACCCGAAUAAAUGGGUGAAUUUCAGACUUUGUCCUGAGCCGUAAGUUUGCAGGUUUGUGGUUCAUGUUCAGCCAAAUAUUCCCCCGACUGUAUCCAAAAACAUUUCAGGAACUAACACCCAAAGGAUGCCGUGGCAUUGACUGAACACACACUGUAAAUAUAUAUAUAUGAAGACUUUAUGAUUAUUGUUAUCGCCAACAUGUUUUCUUUUUUUUUUUUUUUUCUGUGAGCUGAAACUCUUUGGACUGUUGUUCAGAUAAAAAGAAACUCCCUGAACUCUAAAUUCCAGAAAUUUAAAGUACAGAAAUUAAUGCUGAGAUUAACUAAUAAUGAAGUCAUCCAAUGUUGGUGGAUUUUAUUACAGUUUAAUUAUUCUGUGGAAUAAAACGUUAAUAAUUUACGAACUUUUAUCAAAAAUUUUACUUUGAGCUUCAACCUCACAUGAUGUUUUAACAGAGAAAGUUUAUAUUCGUCUCUAAAACUCCUGGGGUCCGUUUCACGUAGCAGGUUUAAUGGAAACUCCGAGUUUGUUAACCCUGAAAUCAGGGAA